GGGCGUAUAGAUCAGUGGUUAGAUCGCCUGUUUUGCAAUACCUGGCUUGCCAUGGUACCGCUAAUACAGGAGGUCCCGCGUUCAAACCGCGGUUCGUCCA